rnacentral:lncRNA from 1 species
AAGGAAUUUUAUCCAAAGUUGUCAAAGAAAAUGGACAUUUAGAUAUACUUUGUAAUAACGCUGGUAUUGGAAACGAAGAUGAUAUAGAGAAGUUAAUCAGUAUCAAUUUGGUAAGUAAGAUAUAUCAUGGGGUUUUUGUGUACACAGAGUUAUUACGGGCACACUAAUUGCCAUCAUCCCAAGGCAAAAGCUGAGAACACUUGCAGCAUAUAGUAUAUAGUAUAUAAUAUAUAUAUAUAUAUAUAUAUAUAUAUAUAUAUAUAUAUAUAUAUAUAUAUAUAUAUAUAUAUAUAUAUCGGAUAAUGUUAAUUCCACUGGUGUAGGAAGCAUUGAGCAUUGGGCUCCCGUAACAUGUUGCACAAGUGGGUUAGUCCAGGGUCUAAAAUAUAUUAAAUCGCCUGUAUAAUAUAUGUAUAUAUAUAUAUAUAUAUAUAUAUAUAUAUAUAUAUAUAUAUAUAUAUAUAUAUAUAUAUAUAUAUAUAUAUAUAUAUAUAGUAGAAAUAUUGAUCAUUUUAGCUAUCAUAGAAAGAUUAAGGAGCUCUUCUCCGUAUACAGGUAGAUUAAUUGUACUUCGUUUGCUACUUUGCUGUUGGUUAUAGCCACACCAAUACAUCGAAACUCCCAAACCCAUUAAUAAAGCAAAUUGUUCGCACCAUUUUUGCACCAAAAGUGCAGGAAAUGGCAUUAUCGACCCUCAAUUUUUCACAUUUUUCUUGAGGAGCAUACACCCCAUUUAUUUUCGAACGCAAAGGUUUUCGUAAUUAUAAGGAAUUUUUCAGCAUUUACCUCCGUGAAUGUGGAAGUUUUAAGAACAAAUUUCGACUUUCGUGCGAAGACCAUUUACCAUCAUAGCAGCAAGCGCUGCUUGAUUAAUACAAUCAGCUAUUUAAUGUCGUUUUUAUUUCAUGCACAGACAGCCAUGAUUCAUGGGACGCUGCUGGGGGUACGAUACAUGAAUAAUAGAGGUGGAUCUAUUGUCAACAUGGCAUCAGUUGCAGGUAUUAAUUACUGAUCAAGGUAUAUAUAACCCAGGAUUGAGUAUCAAUUCGAAUUCUGUGAAAUACAUAAAGCGUCC